UACGGAGGGUGGCGAACGUUAAUCGGAAUCACUGGGCGUAAAGCGCGCGUAGGGCGGUUCGUUAAGUGGGAUGUGAAAUCCCCCGGGCUUAACCUGGGAAUUGCAUUUCAAACUGGCCGACUAGAGUACGGUAGAGGGAGGUAGAAUUUCCUGUGUAGCGGUGAAAUGCGUAGAUAUAGGAAGGAAUACCAGUGGCGAAGGCGGCCUCCUGGAUCGAUACUGACGCUGAGGCGCGAAGGCCAGGGGAGCAAACGGG
rnacentral:rRNA from 1 species